rnacentral:rRNA from 1 species
GACUCUUCGUACGAGGGCGUUUCAGACGAGUCGGGUAGCUUGGGAAUGCUGCUCUAAUUGGUGGUAAAUCUCAUCAAAGGCUAAAUAAUGGUGGGAGACCGAUAGCGAACAAGUACCGUGAGGGAAAGAUGACAAGCACUUUGAAAAGAGGGUGAAAAGAGCCUGAAACCGUUACGGGGGAAGCGGAUUGCGUUGGAUUGAUGGGUACCAGUGUGUUCAGCCGUUAUGGUGCAUUGAUGCUGGUACUUAUCCACCGUGGGUUUUCGGUAGCCGAAUUUGGGCUGCUGGAGGCUGAGGGCUCCCUUCGGGUGAGGACGGUGGAGUGACGACGCGAUACGACCCGUCUUGAAACACGGACCAAGGAGUCUAGCGCGGGUGCGAGUCGGAGGGUGUUAAAACCCGUGGGCGUAGUGAAAGCGAGUUUGAAAACUCUCAGUUUGGGGCGGCAUACGAUCGUUGAUUGUAGGUCCGACCUUGAGCAGUUGCGCUGGGACCCGAAAGAUGGUGAACUAUGCCGGAGUAGGGCAAAGCCAGAGGAAACUCUGGUGGAGGCUCGUAGCGGUGCUGACGUGCAAUCGCUCGWUCGAACUUGGGUAUAGGGGCGAAAGACUAAUCGAACCAUCUAGUAGCUGGUUCCCUCCGAAGUUUCUCUCAGGAUAGCGGGCCGACAUGAGUUGUUUUGUGCGGUAAAGCGAAUGAUUAGCGUAAUUGGGGGCGUUUAGCCUUUGGACGAUUCUCAAACUUUCAAUGCGCAAGGGUGCUGGUGCUUUGUUGAGCGGCACCGAUUAAAAAC